UGGGGAAUAUUGCACAAUGGGGUAAACCCUGAUGCAGCGACGCCGCGUGAGCGAAGAAGGUUUUCGAAUCGUAAAGCUCUGUCCUAUGAGAAGAUAAUGACGGUAUCAUAGGAGGAAGCCCCGGCUAAAUACGUGCCAGCAGCCGCGGUAAUACGUAUGGGGCGAGCGUUUUCCGGAAUUAUUGGGCGUAAAGGGUACGUAGGCGGUCUAUUAAGUCAGGUGUGAAAGCGUGAGGCUUAACCUCAUUAAGCACUUGAAACUGAUAGACUUGAGUGAAGGAGAGGAAAGUGGAAUUCCUAGUGUAGCGGUGAAAUGCGUAUAUAUUAGGAGGAAUACCGGUGGCGAAGGCGACUUUCUGGACUUUUACUGACGCUCAGGUACGAAAGCGUGGGGAGCAAACAGG
rnacentral:rRNA from 1 species